rnacentral:rRNA from 1 species
GAACGCUGGCGGCGUGCCUAACACAUGCAAGUCGAACGGGGUAUUGAGAGCUUGCUCUUAAUACUUAGUGGCGAACGGGUGAGUAACGCGUGAGCAACUUGCCCGUUUCUGGGGGAAUAAACCGGUGGAAACGCCGACUAAUACCCCAUGGUAUGACGAAGAGGCAUCUCUUUGUUAUUAAAGAAUUUCGGAAACGGAUAGGCUCGCGUGACAUUAGCUAGAUGGCGGGGUAACGGCCCACCAUGGCUACGAUGUCUAGGGGUUCUGAGAGGAAGGUCCCCCACACUGGAACUGAGACACGGUCCAGACUCCUACGGGAGGCAGCAGUGAGGAAUAUUGGUCAAUGGUCUGACGACUGAACCAGCCAUGCCGCGUGAAGGUCACGGCCCUAUGGGUCUUAAACUUCUUUUGUAAGGGAGCAAUAAGUCUCACGUGUGGGAUGAUGAGAGUACCUUACGAAUAAGCAUCGGCUAACUCCGUG